UGGGGAAUCUUGCACAAUGGGGGCAACCCUGAUGCAGCGACGCCGCGUGAGCGAUGAAGCCCUUCGGGGUGUAAAGCUCUUUCGGCAGGGACGAUAAUGACGGUACCUGAAGAAGAAGCUGCGGCUAACUACGUGCCAGCAGCCGCGGUAAUACGUAGGCAGCGAGCGUUGUUCGGAGUUACUGGGCGUAAAGAGUGCGUAGGCGGUGGCCCAAGUCUGGUGUGAAAUCUCCCGGCUUAACUGGGAGGGUGCGCCGGAAACUGGGUGACUUGAGUACCGGAGAGGCAAGCGGAAUUCCUGGUGUAGCGGUGAAAUGCGUAGAUAUCAGGAGGAACACCCGUGGUGUAGACGGCUUGCUGGACGGUCACUGACGCUGAGGCACGAAAGCGUGGGGAGCAAACAGG
rnacentral:rRNA from 1 species